rnacentral:rRNA from 1 species
ACGGGGUGCAGCAGGCGCGAAACCUCCGCAAUGCGGGCAACCGCGACGGGGGGACCCCCAGUGCCGUGGCAACGCCACGGCUUUUCCGGAGUGUAAAAAGCUCCGGGAAUAAGGGCUGGGCAAGGCCGGUGGCAGCCGCCGCGGUAAUACCGGCGGUCCGAGUGGUGGCCGCUAUUAUUGGGCCUAAAGCGUCCGUAGCCGGGCCCGUAAGUCCCUGGCGAAAUCCCACGGCUCAACCGUGGGGCUUGCUGGGGAUACUGCGGGCCUUGGGACCGGGAGAGGCCGGGGGCACCCCUGGGGUAGGGGUGAAAUCCUAUAAUCCCAGGGGGACCGCCAGUGGCGAAGGCGCCCGGCUGGAACGGGUCCGACGGUGAGGGACGAAGGCCAGGGGAGCGAACCGGAUUAGAUACCCGGGUAGUCCUGGCUGUAAAGGAUGCGGGCUAGGUGUCGGGCGAGCUUCGAGCUCGCCCGGUGCCGAAGGGAAGCCGUUAAGCCCGCCGCCUGGGGAGUACGGCCGCAAGGCUGAAACUUAAAGGAAUUGGCGGGGGAGCAC